CCUACGGGAGGCAGCAGUGAGGAAUAUUGGUCAAUGGACGCAAGUCUGAACCAGCCAUGCCGCGUGCAGGAAGACGGCUCUAUGAGUUGUAAACUGCUUUUGUACGAGGGUAAACGCAGAUACGUGUAUCUGUCUGAAAGUAUCGUACGCAUAAGGAUCGGCUAACUCCGUGCCAGCAGCCGCGGUAAUACGGAGGAUUCAAGCGUUAUCCGGAUUUAUUGGGUUUAAAGGGUGCGUAGGCGGUCGGAUAAGUUAGAGGUGAAAUCCCGAGGCUCAACUUCGGAAUUGCCUCUGAUACUGUUCGGCGAGAGAGUAGUUGCGGUAGGCGGAAUGUAUGGUGUAGCGGUGAAAUGCUUAGAGAUCAUACAGAACACCUAUUGCGAAGGCAGCUUACCAAGCUACUUCUGACGUUGAGGCACGAAAGCGUGGGGAGCAAACAGGAUUAGAUACCCCAGUAGUC
rnacentral:rRNA from 1 species